ensembl:lncRNA
CAAACAACACCGCUGAAAUAUAGAGCCGGAAAACAGCGGAUUUAAUUAAAAUGGAAACAAGACGUUCACCCUCAGACCCAAUCCAUGUCCUCGGUCUCGAUGCAGCAGUAUACAUCACACCUCAUUAAAUACCAAAUCUGGAUCUGGGUUUUUUGUCUGGCUCCACUUCUGUGCCCGGGCUUUCUACAUUGAAGCAGAACAAAAGACAUAUCACAAGUCUACAGCAGUGCCUUCACCGGCCCACUGGUUUCAGGCACAAGGUCCCGAAACUGUGGAAGGACCGCUGUACCCGUGGUCAAGAACUAACCCCCUAAAACGAGCUCAAUGACCUGAGGCUCUGACCUCAAUAGUGAUGAAGGCUUUUGAGACGGUGGUCAAACAAAUCCUGACUGAUAAGAUUCACGGCCGGCUCGCCCGGAUGCAUUGUGCAUAACGGGCUAAUAAAGGGGGGGAUGAUGCUGCUACUACUUAACUUAAUUAUCUGUACAAGCAUCUGGAGUGCACACAAACUGAUGUAAGGCUUUUAUUACAAUCAAACAAAAACAUUUUAGCUAGUAAACGACUGUCC